rnacentral:misc_RNA from 1 species
UGGUUCUGGCAUCGAUGAAGAACGCAGCGAAAUGCGAUAAGUAAUGCGAAUUGCAGAAUUCAGUGAGUCAUCGAAUCUUUGAACGCAUAUUGCGCCCUUUGGUAUUCCGAAGGGCAUGCCUGUUCGAGCGUCAUUAUCAACUAUCAAGCCUGGCUUGUUGUUAGACUUUUGGUUAUAGGACCGGUCUGAAAAAUAGCAGAUGGGAUCUGGUAGCCCUUGAUAUAAUAAGCUGUUUAUAGCACAUAUCUAUAGGCUAGCAGGCCUAUCUUUAAACCCAAAAUUCUCUAAAAAGGACCUCGGAUCAGGUAGGAAUACCCGCUGA